GAUGAACGCUGGCGGUGUGCCUAAUACAUGCAAGUCGAGCGAACAGACGAGGAGCUUGCUCCUCUGACGUUAGCGGCGGACGGGUGAGUAACACGUGGAUAACCUACCUAUAAGACUGGGAUAACUUCGGGAAACCGGAGCUAAUACCGGAUAAUAUAUUGAACCGCAUGGUUCAAUAGUGAAAGACGGUUUUGCUGUCACUUAUAGAUGGAUCCGCGCCGCAUUAGCUAGUUGGUAAGGUAACGGCUUACCAAGGCAACGAUGCGUGGCCGACCUGAGAGGGUGAUCGGCCACACUGGAACUGAGACACGGUCCAGACUCCUACGGGAGGCAGCAGUAGGGAAUCUUCCGCAAUGGGCGAAAGCCUGACGGAGCAACGCCGCGUGAGUGAUGAAGGUCUUCGGAUCGUAAAACUCUGUUAUUAGGGAAGAACAAAUGUGUAAGUAACUAUGCACGUCUUGACGGUACCUAAUCAGAAAGCCACGGCUAACUACGUG
rnacentral:rRNA from 1 species